GAUGAACGCUGGCGGCGCGCCUAACACAUGCAAGUCGAACGGGAUCUUUUAGGAAGCUUGCUUCUUGGCUGAUCUAGUGGCGGACGGGUGAGUAACACGUGAGCAACCUGCCGCGGAGUGGGGGACAACGUCUGGAAACGGACGCUAAUACCGCAUAACAUACCUGGGAGACAUCUCCCGGGUAUCAAAGGAGAAAUCCGCUUUGCGAUGGGCUCGCGCCCGAUUAGAUAGUUGGUGGGGUAACGGCCCACCAAGUCGACGAUCGGUAGCCGGACUGAGAGGUUGAACGGCCACAUUGGGACUGAGACACGGCCCAGACUCCUACGGGAGGCAGCAGUGGGGGAUAUUGCACAAUGGGCGCAAGCCUGAUGCAGCAACGCCGCGUGAAGGAAGACGGUUUUCGGAUUGUAAACUUCUGUUCUUAGUGAAGAAGAAUGACGGUAACUAAGGAGCAAGCCACGGCUAACUACGUGCCAGCAGC
rnacentral:rRNA from 1 species